rnacentral:rRNA from 1 species
GCUCCCGGAUGUUAGCGGCGGACGGGUGAGUAACACGUGGGUAACCUGCCUGUAAGACUGGGAUAACUCCGGGAAACCGGAGCUAAUACCGGAUAGUUCCUUGAACCGCAUGGUUCAAGGAUGAAAGACGGUUUCGGCUGUCACUUACAGAUGGACCCGCGGCGCAUUAGCUAGUUGGUGAGGUAACGGCUCACCAAGGCGACGAUGCGUAGCCGACCUGAGAGGGUGAUCGGCCACACUGGGACUGAGACACGGCCCAGACUCCUACGGGAGGCAGCAGUAGGGAAUCUUCCGCAAUGGACGAAAGUCUGACGGAGCAACGCCGCGUGAGUGAUGAAGGUUUUCGGAUCGUAAAGCUCUGUUGUUAGGGAAGAACAAGUGCAAGAGUAACUGCUUGCACCUUGACGGUACCUAACCAGAAAGCCACGGCUAACUACGUGCCAGCAGCCGCGGUAAUACGUAGGUGGCAAGCGUUGUCCGGAAUUAUUGGGCGUAAAGGGCUCGCAGGCGGUUUCUUAAGUCUGAUGUGAAAGCCCCCGGCUCAACCGGGGAGGGUCAUUGGAAACUGGGAAACUUGAGUGCAGAAGAGGAGAGUGGAAUUUCCACGUGUAGCGGUGAAAUGCGUAGAGAUGUGGAGGAACACCAGUGGCGAAGGCGACUCUCUGGUCUGUAACUGACGCUGAGAGCGAAAGCGUGGGGAGCGAACAGGAUUAGAUACCCUGGUAGUCCACGCCGUAAACG